CAGCAUACAGGGAGCUGAAACCCCGUGCGGUAGCUAU
rnacentral:ncRNA from 1 species